rnacentral:tRNA from 1 species
GCUGGCUCAAUGGAAGAGCGUCUGCCUCCUAAGCAGAAGGUUCGGGGUUCGACCCCC